rnacentral:rRNA from 1 species
UAAUACAGAGGUCCCGAGCGUUGUUCGGAUUCACUGGGCGUAAAGGGUGCGUAGGUGGCUUGAAAAGUUUGAUGUGAAAGCUCAGGGCUUAACCCUGAAAUGGCAUUGAAUACUGUCGAGCUGGAGGUUUGGAGGGGGGACUGGAAUUCUUGGUGUAGCAGUGAAAUGCGUAGAUAUCAAGAGGAACACCAGUGGCGAAGGCGAGUCCCUGGACAACACCUGACACUGAGGCACGAAAGCUAGGGGAGCAAACAGGAUUAGAUACCCUGGUAGUCCUAGCCCUAAACGGUGCACGUUUGCUGUAAAAGGAAUCGACCCCUUUUGUGGCGAAGCUAACGCGAUAAACGUGCCGCCUGGGGAGUACGGUCGCAAGAUU